rnacentral:rRNA from 1 species
UACGAAGGGGGCUAGCGUUGCUCGGAAUCACUGGGCGUAAAGGGUGCGUAGGCGGGUCUUUAAGUCAGGGGUGAAAUCCUGGAGCUCAACUCCAGAACUGCCUUUGAUACUGCAGAUCUUGAGUUCGGGAGAGGUGAGUGGAACUGCGAGUGUAGAGGUGAAAUUCGUAGAUAUUCGCAAGAACACCAGUGGCGAAGGCGGCUCACUGGCCCGAUACUGACGCUGAGGCACGAAAGCGUGGGGAGCAAACAGG